rnacentral:lncRNA from 1 species
AACUUCCAUCUGUAUUUCUCACACCCUCAGUAAGCAAAGCUGAGUGUGCGUAGACAGAGCUGCAUCCACUGCUUUCUCCCAACGGGUGCAGUCUAAUCUGACACGGGGAACACUAGGAGUUUAGCGGAAUCUUCAGCCACCCUAUUAAUGUGUUACGCAUUAGGCAUUGUAGUGGAAACUACUCUGACGGCUCAUGAUUAUAUGAACAGGAGCAAUUUGGAAUAUAACAUGUCAGCCGUGGACUGGGAGGUGCCGUAAGAGAAAACACUACCAGGGUCAUAGGCUUGGGUCCUUGAGGCAACCUAGCAGGGACGCUGUUGCCCAUUCCUCUCAUCCAGACUGCAGCCUGCUGGGAUCUUUGCAGUUUGCAGAUCAUAGAAUCAGACAUGAAAAGGCUUCUCUUCAGACGUCAUUGGUUCCUGGCUCCUUUACAGAUGAGAACA